GAUGAACGCUGGCGGCGUGCCUAAUACAUGCAAGUCGAGCGAACGGACGAGAAUCUUGCUUCUCUGAUGUUAGCGGCGGACGGGUGAGUACCCCUUGGAUAACCUACCUAUAAGACUGGGAUAACUUCUGGAAACCGGAGCUAAUACCGGAUAAUAUUUUGAACCGCAUGGUUCACAAGUGAAAGACGGUCUUGCUGUCACUUCUAGAUGGAUCCGCGCUGCAUUAGCUAGUUGGUAAGGUAACGGCUUACCAAGGCAACGAUGCAUAGCCGACCUGAGAGAGUGAUCGGCGACACUGGAACUGAGACACGGUCCAGACUCCUACGGGAGGCAGCAGUAGGGAAUCUUCCGAAAUGGGCGAAAGAAUGACGGAGCAACGCCGCGUGAGUGAUGAAGGUCAUCGGAUCGUAAAACUCUGUUAUUAGGGAAGAACAUAUGUGUAAGUAACUGUGCAAAUCUUGACGGUACCUAAUCAGAAAGCCACGGCUAACUACGUG
rnacentral:rRNA from 1 species